rnacentral:rRNA from 1 species
UAGCGUAGGGUGCAAGCGUUUAUCCGGAAUUAUUGGGCGUAAAGAGCUCGUAGGCGGUUUGUCACGUCUGCUGUGAAAACUGGAGGCUCAACCCUCCAGCCUGCAGUGGGUUACGGGCAGACUAGAGUGCGGUAGGGGAGAUUGGAAUUCCUGGUGUAGCGGUGGAAUGCGCAGAAUAUCAGGAGGAACACCGAUGGCGAAGGCAGAUCGUCUGGGCCGUUACUGACGCUGAGACGCGAAAGCGUGGGGAGCAAACAGG